UUAUAUUAGGACGAAAGAGCAACAAUAAGUAAUGGUUGCGCGCUUCUUUUAUUUUAUACGUUUUUACAUUUACUCUUACCGCUUCUUAUUAACCCCAGCGAUAACAUCAAAUGCCUAUUCUAGUACACUCACUUUCAUAAAUGCUGGACUCCCAUAAGUAUAGUUAUAUUAUAAUCAAUUACCUAUAUUAUACUAUAUUUAGGGGCUCCAGCAUUUAUGAAAACGAGUGUACCUGGUGUAAUUCUUUUUCUGGGACGAUUGUACAGAUCACUGGCGCUACUAUAGAUAUUCAAAGUUGUCUUUUGUUUUUUGUCAAUAAAUGUUCAGUUUUCAGUAGUAAUUUUGUAUUGUUUGAUUAAUAUUAAUUAAAAUGAAGUGUUAUUUAGCACCACCGGCUUCCCAACGAGAAUUUAAAGUUUAUUUUUCCAUCAACCGGGAACCGAGCUACUGUGUUGAAGGGAUAGACUUGCAAACUUAUCUGAGAAUAACCAGUAAGAACGAUCAAGCUCGAUUGUUUUUAAUGAAUCGGAUUAUGGAGAGAAUGAUUCCAUCUCCGGAUGAAGGAAUUAAUUUAAUGGAUA